UGGGGAAUUUUGGACAAUGGGCGAAAGCCUGAUCCAGCCAUUCCGCGUGAGUGAAGAAGGCCUUCGGGUUGUAAAGCUCUUUCGGCGGGGAAGAAAUCACCUCUUCUAAUACAAGGGGUGGAUGACGGUACCUGAAGAAGAAGCACCGGCUAACUACGUGCCAGCAGCCGCGGUAAUACGUAGGGUGCGAGCGUUAAUCGGAAUUACUGGGCGUAAAGCGUGCGCAGGCGGUUUUGUAAGACAGCUGUGAAAUCCCCGGGCUCAACCUGGGAACUGCGGUUGUGACUGCAAGGCUAGAGUACGGCAGAGGGGGGUGGAAUUCCACGUGUAGCAGUGAAAUGCGUAGAUAUGUGGAGGAACACCGAUGGCGAAGGCAGCCCCCUGGGUCGAUACUGACGCUCAUGCACGAAAGCGUGGGGAGCAAACAGG
rnacentral:rRNA from 1 species